rnacentral:snoRNA from 1 species
UGCAAUAGAAAUUCAAUAUCUGACAUUGUUGGUUUUCUUGGCUUUGUGCUUGUCAAAACCUGGUAUUUCUAAUGAUGUGGUC